rnacentral:rRNA from 1 species
GUGCCAGCCGCCGCGGUAAUACGUAGGGUGCGAGCGUUGUUCGGAGUUAUUGGGCGUAAAGGGCGUGUAGGCGGCUUGAGAAGUCUGGUUUGAAAUGCACUGGCUCAACUGGUGCGCUGGGUCAGAAACUGGCAGGCUUGAGUUCAUGGGGAGGAGCUGGAAUUCCAGGUGUAGGGGUGAAAUCUGUAGAGAUCUGGAAGAACACCGGUAGCGAAGGCGGGCUCCUAUGGAUGGACUGACGCUGAGGCGCGAAAGCGUGGGGAGCAAACAGGAUUAGAAACCCGUGUAGUCC